GACAAGUGUUAUUCAUCUUUAUUAGGUUUAAMGARUACCAAGACGGUUAAUAAAGCCCAAAAUAAAUGAAUACGGGGGACACAUUAACUAGAGUUAUAUGAAAGGAAGCUCUAAGGUACUGUUGAGUGUAGAGAUGAAAUUUAAUUAUACCAGAUGAUUGGCACAGAUUUAUGCGAAGGCAUCUUCUUAUGUAAUAACUGACGUUGUAGGACGAAGGCUUGGGAAGUGAACAGGAUUAGGUACCCCAGUAAUCUAGGCAGAAAAUGAUGAAUGUCAUAGGUUCAAUACAGACAGGUUAAAUUGACUAUCUAAUAGUAAAUAGGUGCUAUAUUAAUCAGUCUAUUAUUGUGUCUAUAAAUGAAAGUGUAAGCAUUCCACCUCAAGAGUAAUUUGGCAACAUUGGAACUGAAAUCAUUAGACCGUUUCUGAAACCAGUAGUGAAGUAUGUUGUUUAAUUAGAUGAUACACAAAAACCUUACCACAAUUUGAAUAUAUAUAAA
rnacentral:rRNA from 1 species